CACCCAUAAAUCCUCCGUUGGCUCCUCGUAUUUUCCACCACGAUGUCAAAUAAAUUCCCAAAAAUUAUUUAAGCGCAUGAUUAAAUUAUCAUAACUAUUUCCCUUUUCAGUUAUAUUUAUUUCAAGACUUUGGAUAAAUUAUUUGUACAUCGAAUUAUGUCGAGAAUUAACUAAAUAAUUCGUCACUAUUAAUUUAAUUUUUAACUCCAAAAAUUUAUUUAGUUAUUGGCCCAAAGAUUUAAUUAAAAUCUCAAGACUUAAUUAUUUCCCCACCUUAUAUCUCCAACUACAAAUUAAAGCCCAACCAUUAAAUGGAGCCCAUCCUUAAUAAAUCAUCCAAUUUUAAUUUAAUAGGCCCACUUUCUUUAAACAAAACAAGGGCCCAAUCUGUUAAAAAUAUAACAGCCCAAUUUUACUCCCACCCCCCCUACGUCUCUGUCUUCCUCUCUCUCUCCUCUUCUCUUAUCUUCUCGCCCAAAUCGGGAGUUCCGGAAAUCUCCAUCGCCGUCGUCCGAUUCGUCUGCCGUCGCUGCCAGACGCCGGGAAGACGAAACGCCGUGGCUGCUGUACCGGUCAGUCGAACAGCAACGCGCCGCCGCUCCGUCGCCGCCUCUCAGCGGCAGGCUGCUGCUGCCGCUCGUCGGGAAGAUGCUGCUGUCGCCGCCGUCGGCAAUGGUUCGUUACAGCCGUCUUCAGCCGAGGCCCAGGGUCGUCGCUGCUGCUGUCGGCUUCUCCGCCGGUUCCGUCGCCCCGAUUUACUCCGAACAGCCCCGCAACCAACCCGAUUUCAACCGAACAGAUCGGUUCUCAUUCAAAAUUACGGAGGAUGAAUAUCUCAUUACGGAGGAGGAAGAUCUUUGCAGAAUCUUUAAUUAAAAAAUAAUUAAAGCCGAUUGGUGACCAAAUCAACCGGGAAAAUAAAUUAGCUUGGUUUAAUUCACGGUCCUUUGUAUUUUAUUUUAAAUUGUACAGUCAACAAUUCGUUUAUCACGGACUGAACUUUUAUAUUAAUUAUUUAAUUUAUCGGAUCCAACACGGAAUUGAGUCCAAUAAAUAUAUUCCUCA